UACGAAGGGGGCUAGCGUUGCUCGGAAUGACUGGGCGUAAAGGGCGCGUAGGCGGAUGGCUUUGUCGGGCGUGAAAUUCCAGGGCUUAACCUUGGGGCUGCGUUCGAGACGGGUUGUCUUGAGUGGGGAAGAGGGUCGUGGAAUUCCCAGUGUAGAGGUGAAAUUCGUAGAUAUUCGCAAGAACACCAGUGGCGAAGGCGGCUUACUGGUCCGGAACUGACGCUGAGGUGCGAAAGCGUGGGGAGCAAACAGG
rnacentral:rRNA from 1 species